GGGCGGGCGGCGCGAGUGGGCGCGGGCCCGGUGGGCCAGGUGAGGCGCGGGCCGGGGGUGGUGGGACUGGGCCGGUUGCGGUAGGGACGGGUGGCGUCCGGGUGUCUGGACUCAGUUCGGGCUCCGUUGUACGGCUUCGGACUUACGAUUUGUUUCUUUGAGCCUCAGUUUCCUCCCCUGUGGAAUGGGGGUUAGAAUCCGACUGUAUCACCGGCUUUAUAAAUGGGAGUGAGAAGUCAGGUCGUGUACGUUGGAUGCCUUAGCUCAGCGCCUCCGCAUAACGCUCACUUCGUUACUAUACUAUUAUUAUUAGUAUUGAUGUUUGAGCGCUUAGUAUGAAAAAUUGUUGGGUUUGGAAGCCGUCGAAUUUUGGUUCAAGUCCCGCUCCACUGUGCGGCAGUGGGGCCUGUGUCUUCGCUUCCUUGAACCCCGUUUUUUCUCAUCUGUACAAUGAGAGCAGAUAGUCCCAAUAUCAUAGGGUCGUCUUGAGGAUUCUGAUGAAAUCUGUGUGUGUAAAGAUUUUAAGCAGAGGGGCUGGCACAGUGAGAGCUCGUGGAUUGGGACUAUAAUGAUAAUGAUUCUGAGAGUCAUUGGUGUAGCUGGGAAUUCCAGGGAAGCUGGGGGAGAAAGCUCAGAGACAGCAAUAGGAAAAACUUAGAAUUGGAGCCGGGGAAAUCGACAUCCUGUCACUUACUAUUUGACCAAUUUUGCUGAGUCCUGAAGUACUAGUUUUUUUCUUUUUCUUGAUAAUGACUAGUGCAUUUUUUUCCCCAGUAAGUUAAUUUGAGAAGGCAAAUUUGCAUUGCUGUCUUCUUCUUUUUUUUUUCUUUGAGACGGAGUUUCGCUCUUGUUGCCCAGGCUGGAGUGCAAUGGUGCAAUUUCGUCUCACCGCAACCUCCGCUUCCUGGGUUCAAGGGAUUCUCCUGCCUCAACCUUCCGAGUAGCUGGGAUUACAGGCAUGCGCCACCACGCCCGGCUAAUUUUUUUUGUAUUUUAGUAGAGACGGGGUUUCUGCAUGUUGGUCAGGCUGGUCUCGAACUUCUGACUUCAGGUGAUCUGCCCGCCUCUGCCUCCCAAAGUGCUGGGAUUACAGGUGUGAGCCACCGUGCCCGGCGCAUUGCUGUCUUCAAUGGAAAACUAGCAUUGCUGGCCAUGAGAGGAAGGAAAAGUUCAGUGACAGGGUCUCGCUAUAUUGCCCAGGCUGGCCUCAAAAUCCUGGGCUCCAGAGAUCCUCCUGCUUCGGCCUCCCAAAGUGCUGGGACUACAGGUGUGAGUUACUGUACCCGGCCUUACCAUUCUUAUUGUGCAGUUGAGGGAAGUGAGGUCAGAAAGGUUAAGCUACUUGUCCAGAGUCAGGAUUAGGACGUGGUAAAAUUGGGAUUUGGAUACAGGUCUUCUAAGGGCUUAGCACAUGGAGUCUGGUAUGUGGUAAUCCCUUGAGUUUUGGGAGCUGCUGUCUUUAAAAUCACUAUUAUAAUUUUCACUAUUCGGAAAGUCAGUGCUGGAGAUGGGCUUUUAAGAUUGUGGAGAGAGGAAAUUGAAUUCAGUAGGGUCUGUAGCACUUGGGGGAGAAUACCAGUACUUAAAGGAUUCUGGUUAGCAUUAACUGAGACAUUGAAAAACAGACCAUAGUACCUGGCUGGUAGUAAUCCCUCAAUCAGCAUGAACCAUAGCCAUUGGACUGCGUGGGGUCCAAGUCCUGCUGCUUCCUUUACUUGCUAUAUGAUCUUGAACUCCUAGGCUCAAGGGAUCCUCCUGACCCUAAAGUGCUGGGAUGACAGGCCUGAGCCACUGUGCCCAGCCUUUUGCUGUGUGAUCUUGGACCUGCCAUUCUCAUCUGUAACUUUCCGAGGGUGGUUGUGAGGAGCGACUGAGAUGUGUAUAUGCUCAGUUCCUGGUACAUAGUAAGCACUCAAUGGGACCUAUUCCCUGGACGUCAGAAUCAGGAAGAACUUGUUUUUGAAUCCCAGUAAGGUCAGUUGCUAGAUGUGCCAUUUGACAAACGACUGCACCUCAAUGAGUCGGGGUUUUUCAUCGAUAAAAACAGGGCUAAUAAUAGUCCUCACUUGCUGAGCUGUUGGGAUGCAUCUGCAUGAUGCUUGGCGCUGGUCCUGAUGCAUAGUUAGUGCUUGGUUUGUGAGAUGUUCUGUCUGACUUACUGAGACCUCUCCGUGCUGUUCUUUGAGAGAUGCAUGUUGUACUGUAUUUUAUUUCAUUAUUAUUUUUUGAGACAGAGUCUUGCUCUGUCACUCAGGCUAGAGUGCAGUGGUGUGAUCUCGGCCCACUGCAGCCUCUGCCUCCCGGGUUCAAGCGAUUCUCCUGCCUCAGCCUGCCGAGUAGCUGGGAUUACAGGCGCCCACCACCAUGCCCG
rnacentral:lncRNA from 1 species